UGACAUGAAGUAUUACCACACAGACUGGCUGCUGAGUUUUCAAAAAGUCAGCAGCCAGUCUGUGUGGUAAUACUUCAUGUCG